CCCGCAGCGUCUCGUUGAAGUUGCCACCGGCCCAGGUUCCUGUGAUGUUCCAGCCACCCAGCUGGGGACAGACAGCAACCAGCUUUUGGACAGAAGAUGGCUUUUCCACGAGGAGCAGGACGGACCUUUUGGAUGAGCUCCACGAGCGGGGUGGCACGCAGCUCCUCAAUCUUGCUCUCGUUCAUGCAGGCCUGGUAAUAGCGCUGGGCCUUGCGCUCCGCCUCGCUCGACACGUUGGCCGUGGUGUUUUCUGUGGACGGUCCCCAGGGGGAAUCACAGGAGGUCCCCAGGGAUGGGCAUCCCACACACAUGGGGGCUGCUGAUUACACUGGAGCACCCCCUCCCUUGCACCAUGGGAAUAUUCAGCCCCAUUUUGAGCAAAGCCAGGCUCCAAACCGGCGCCAAGGAUUGCCCCAAUAGGCCCCUCUGUGCCCCUGAGAGCAUCCCAUGGCCCCAGCCCUUCCUGGCCUCCUGCCCCCCUCUCCUUUCCCACCCGCAGAGACUGCUCCAGCUCUUUGGGAACGAAAGAUAAAGAAAGAAAAAACAAAAAAGCAUUUUUCCAGCAGCUCUGAUAUUCCCAGCAUCAUCCAGCCCCCUGUGCUGCCCUUGCCUCUGUGCUGCUGCCCCCCAGCCCUUUAUUAUUUACUCCUGUAAAAAGGAACAAUAAACCCAUUAUUCUUCUCUGCCUCCAAAACCAACCUUUUAUCUCCCCCUCUGCUAAAAUUCUGCCUCCCCUGAGAGUUUUUUUUGGGUUUUUUAUUUAUUUUCCUGAUGACACAGCUUGCACCUUUGGCUUCCCAGCUGUGUGGUUUUAUUAACUAAAGGUCCCUCAGCUCCAAGGAAUUCAAGGAAAUGCCGAACGCGACCACUUGGCUGGAGGCCCAGUCCCUUCUCCUGGUAAAACCAGCGCCAGAUUUCUGCAGGAAGAGCCAGGGACGAAGCCGUUCCCGCGCCACCCCCCUUCUCCCAAAAGACAACACUCUUCCCAAACCUUCUCUUUCCAGAUAAUCAGCCCUGGCGCAGUGGAAAGUGCUGAUAAGGAGCCAGUUGUUUGCUCAAAGCCUGAACAAACCGUCCCUGCCGGUUGCUCGGAUAAGCGGCUCCGCUUCGCUGUUCGCACGCAGAGGCUGAACACAGGAUCCUCCCUUUGCUGGGGGAGCUUUGGCCCCCCAAAAAAUGGCUGUAUUGGCAGCCAGACCUCCAAAAAGGCUGCUCACAAAGGCUGGAAGGUAUAGGAGCAGGAAAACCCCAUAUCCUUUGGGUGAUAUUGCAGGCUCUGGAGUGCAAAUCCUGAAUUUCAGAGCUCCUGGGAACGCUGCUGUGAGGCCUGCAGAGCAGAGGCCAGGAACCUUUUCCCUACUCGGCACCAAAGAGCAGCAACACCACAGUCAAAAAUCCCAGGAGCAUCCAGGAGAGCAAACACAGCCUUUUCCCCAACGUCCUCGCAACACGCGUGUCACGGAUUGGUUUGACGCUGGAGUUCAAUUCCAACCCCAUAUCCCCACGGACAUGUUUUUGGCCUCCCCGGGACCUAACAGGGUCCCACUGCUCCCCUGCACUCACCCAGCAGGUGCUUCAUGAUGGCCUGGUUGUGCUCCCAGAGGUUGUUGAAGGUGCCCCAGCGCGAGUGGCCAUCGGGGAGGGGGUUGGCCUUGAUCCAGCCCCCGCA